GUGGGGAAUAUUGGGCAAUGGGGGAAACCCUGACCCAGCGACGCCGCGUGAGGGAAGAAGGCCUUAGGGUCGUAAACCUCUGUUGUGUGGGAAGAAGAGCGUGACGGUACCACACGAGGAAGUCCCGGCUAACUACGUGCCAGCAGCCGCGGUAAUACGUAGGGGACGAGCGUUGUCCGGAUUUACUGGGCGUAAAGGGCGCGUAGGCGGUCAUUUAAGUCAGCUGUGAAAUGGUUUGGCUUAACCGGAUCAUGCGGUUGAAACUGGAUGACUGGAGUGCUGGAGAGGCAAGUGGAAUGCCCAGUGUAGCGGUGAAAUGCGUAAAUAUUGGGAAGAACACCGGUGGCGAAGGCGACUUGCUGGCCAGCAACUGACGCUGAGGCGCGAAAGCCAGGGGAGCAAACGGGAUUGGAUACCCGUGUAGUCC
rnacentral:rRNA from 1 species